rnacentral:lncRNA from 1 species
UUAAAAUAUUCUUUAAAAAUAAUUCGAAAGUUUAAUUUUAGUUUUAGCAAAAUUUCGAUAAAGAAAUUAAAUAAUAAAUACUGUAAAGAAAAUGUUUAGAAAAGGCCUGUGGAUCGAGGCGUGUAGAGCACUCUCCUAGAAGCGAAAUUGCCCCUCCACGUGCGAGGCUUCACGGCAAUUACUUCUAGCGAUACAAUGACCACAUUCCACCCCGUCGGCAUGCUUUCAUUUCAAGGUGGUGCAAGACGAACCCAAUAAGCUUUAGAUCCAGCAAAAUAUAAGAAAGCUCGGCGAAAAUCAGCGCCAAAAAUCAAUGGCGAGAAAACAAAAAAUGCGAGGUAGAGGAUA